UACCACAAAAAAAAAAGGGCAGACUUCCCUGCCGUGUGCAGCUGCGCUCAGUGUGCAGCACCCAUGUGCUUGGGUCUGACUGUGCUUCGCAUGCUCAGUUUGCUUUUGGAAAGUGUCCAGGGUAAACCGAGGAAGCUGCAAUCUAGGUAUCUGCAGUCUAAUAGAUGCUACUAAGAGGUUUAACAGCAGGGAACUGCGCUUCAAGGGCCCCAAGACAAAGACCAACAAUCGGCUAUUCAUGUCCAGCACAUAGUUUAACAUGUAUUUUGUCUUUUUUGGUACCAGGGAUUAAACUCAGGACGUUGCGCUUGCAAGGCAGGUGCAGCUGGGCUGGAACUUGUGACCUCCUGCCUCAGCCUCCCUCCGUGCUGGGAUCACAGGGAAGGGCUGUGGGGUUACAGAGCCGCAGAGCCCCUCUGCACUGCCCCUGCCACCCUGCACAGCAGCAAGAAGCUCAGCUGGCCCGGGUCCGGGUUUUGAACACAGAAAAUGCAAAUCCCACAGAAAAUUUCCUCUGCAGACCUCUGCAGGUGAACAACUUAGCCUGAAGCUGGGGUGUGAGAAUCACUUGGAGAUACAGCUCGAGGGGCUGGCCCCUCACUCACUCACCCCACAUCGCCGUUCCCAGACCUGUGGAAGACCAAGGUUCCAGCAGCUCCGGAUGUGGGGUGAGAAGCCCGGCUCAUCGCAGCGAUAGCAGUCGCCGGGCCUGAGCAGCACGGCCAGAAACUUCAUGGGCAUGGUGGGCACCGGGCCUUGAACGACGAGAUCAGAGCAGGGUGAGGCCCAAGACAGGUCAGCGGUCCACACGGCAGGAGCCAGGGUUGCUGGCCAAGGGGAGGCCAAGGCGGGACAGUCAGAGUCAGCACAGAAAGUGAGUCAAGGGCAGGGACACACGGGGCCUGGCCGGGCCGGGCCGGGCUGUGCAACUUCCUGCAGGUCGUGAGUCCACACCCCACGCGCAGGCCCUCGCCUUUCCUGGACCCGACCCCCUUUCCACAGACUGCCCCCAAACACAAGCACCCCCAGCUGCAGGCCCAGUGCACGCUCCCUCUCGCUCGCUCCUUUUUGUCUACUUUUACAAUUCUGCCCAAUCGGCCUCUGUCCGCCUCUUUCUGAAAUGGAAAGCAGCUGCUGAGAGGCAGAGGCAGCCCUGAGGGCUCCCACCGUUCAAGGGCGCUGGCUCCAGGCUGCCCUGCUCUUCCCUCCUCGGGGACGUGGGACCUGGGGACAAUCAGCCAGCAAGGGCAUAGGGCGACAAAUAGCCAACUAGGAAAAGGGGGAGCUGGGCACACACCUGUAACCCCAGUACUUCUGGAGGCUGAGGCAGGAGGAUUGCUGUGAGUUUGAGGCCAGCCUGGGCUACAUAGGAAGACUCUGCCUCAAAAACACCGAAAAUCAUGCUCACUUUGGCAGCAUAUACACUAAACACACCAACACUGGAGAGGGGGACCUGGAAGUGGGGUCGGAGGUCAGAAAGCGGGGGAGAGACCUCGGCCCCUCCCCUGCCCUCCUCUGCUUUCCUGUCACCCAGCACGGCUGCAAAACACUUUCUGACCAAUCUCCUGACCCUGGUCCUAUCGCUGCAGUGCUGAGAGAAGAUUCUCCAGCUCCCUGUGGCAUCCACUUUCAGUCUCCGUCCUGAAGGUUUCGGCCUGCCUGCUCAGGCCCAGCUCCCACCCUGCCUCUGCAGUCACGCGGCCCCCAGGUCGACCAAACACCCUCUGAUUUGGAGGUCCAGGCUGGCUCCUGCCUGUAGAGGCCGUGGCGGUGGACAAGGACCGCAUCUCAAUACAGUAUUUUGGCAGAGCCCAGGAAUCUGGUCGAGAAUACCAGCGCGACCCUUGCUUGGGAGAAGUGUGCCCGGCUGUGAAAGCACCAAAGCAGGCCGGGCGCUGUGACACUGGCCAUGCGUCCAGCCACCUGCAGGAGGGGGAUCGGUGAAGGCUGCACAAAGAGCAGAAGCUAGAGCAGCACAGGGCACUGCGGGCAGCGGCUUGCAGCGCGUCUCAACGGCCGCCUGUACAUUUAGCUGCAAAGUGACAGACGUGGUCAGAGGUCUGCUGGGCCUGUCUGAGGGGACACACUGGACGCUCCUGCUCAGGCCUGCACCUCGCAGGUUGAUAUGACAAAGAAAAUCUUUUCAAGGGCUUUGGUUUCUUGUUAUUUUACUUAAUUCUGUGGCACUGGGAUUGAACCAGAGCUUCUGCAGUGAGCUACGUCCUCAGCCCUUUUUCAUUGUUUUAUUUUGAGACAGAGUCUCACUAAGUUGCUCAGAUUGGGCUUGAACUUGCAGUCCUCCUGCCUCAACAUCUGAGAGUGCUGGGAUUACAGGUGUACACCACCACGUCUUGCUGGUUUCUUUCAUUUUUUUUUGGUA